rnacentral:rRNA from 1 species
CAUCGAUUGAUAUUGAAAGCUCCGGCGGAUAGAGAUGGGCACGCGCAAGAUUAGCUAGUUGGUGAGGUAACGGCUCACCAAGGCGAUGGAUCUUUAGGGGCCUGAGAGGGUGAUCCCCCACACUGGUACUGAGACACGGACCAGACUCCUACGGGAGGCAGCAGUGAGGAAUAUUGGUCAAUGGGUGCAAGCCUGAACCAGCCAUCCCGCGUGAAGGACGACUGCCCUAUGGGUUGUAAACUUCUUUUGUAUAGGGAUAAACCUACCCUCGUGAGGGUAGCUGAAGGUACUAUACGAAUAAGCACCGGCUAACUCCGUG